AUUGAACGCUGGCGGCAUGCCUGACACAUGCAAGUCGAUCGGUAACAGGUGUAGCAAUACAUGCUGACGAGAGGCGGACGGGUGAGGAACGCUUGGGAAUCUGCCUAUCAGCGGGGGACAACCCGGGGAAACCCGGGCUAAUACCGCAUACGCUCUACGGAGGACAGCCGGGGACCGCAAGGCCUGGCACUGAUAGAUGAGCCCAAGUCGGAUUAGCUAGUUCGCGGGGUAACGGCCCACCAAGGCGACGAUCCGUAGCUGGUCUGAGGGGACGAUCAGCCACACCGGAACUGAGACACGGUCCGGACUCCUACGGGAGGCAGCAGUGGGGAAUAUUGGACAAUGGGCGAAAGCCUGAUCCAGCGACGCCGCGUGGGUGAAGAAGGCCUGCGGGUUGUAAAGCCCUUUCGGUAGGGACGAAAGCUCUUGCCCUAACAAGGCAGGAGGUUGACUUAACCUACAUAAGAAGCACCGGCUAACUCUGUGCCAGCAGCCGCCGUAACAC
rnacentral:rRNA from 1 species